AUCUCACCUUGAAUACGUACAUGUGGCCAGGGUACAUUUGUUCUUGACUUGAUUUUUACGUUUUGACUGUAUUUGGAACUAUUUACUGCAUUUGAUUUUGAAAAUUUGUUCAUUAUUUUGCCUCUUACAUCUAUUGCAAAACAGAAGGCUCAAUGGUUCCAACAAAAAAAACGAAUAUGAACUACUACCAAGGGAAAGGAAAAUGCACCGGAUCGACAUCCUCUACAAAGAAAUGUUGGAAUUGUGGUACGUGAUGAGCAAAACGUCAAUGACAUCCGUAUCAAUGAGGCAAAACAAAUGUCAAACAAAGGAAAAGAAAAGGCAACCUAUGCCAUGGAAAAUGCAAAUGUACGGGUAUGACUUCUCUACACUUCUUCAAAAACAAAUAG